rnacentral:rRNA from 1 species
CAGCAGCCGCGGGAAUACGUAGGUCCCGAGCGUUGUCCGGAUUUAUUGGGCGUAAAGCGAGCGCAGGCGGUUUAAUAAGUCUGAUGUGAAAGCCCACGGCUCAACCGUGGAGGGUCAUUGGAAACUGUUAAACUUGAGUGCAGGAGAGAAAAGUGGAAUUCCUAGUGUAGCGGUGAAAUGCGUAGAGAUUAGGAGGAACACCAGUGGCGAAGGCGGCUUUUUGGCCUGUAACUGACACUGAGGCGCGAAAGCGUGGGGAGCAAACAGGAUUAGAUACCCCCGUAGUCCCUGUCUCUUAUAC